UACAGAGGUCUCAAGCGUUGUCCGGAAUCAUUGGGCGUAAAGAGCUCGUAGGCGGCCUGUUGCGUCCGCUGUGAAAUCCCGGGGCUUAACCCCGGGCGUGCAGUGGAUACGGGCUGGCUGGAGGCAGGCAGGGGAGAACGGAAUUCCCGGUGUAGCGGUGAAAUGCGCAGAUAUCGGGAGGAACACCAGUGGCGAAGGCGGCUCACUGGCCCGAUACUGACGCUGAGGCACGAAAGCGUGGGGAGCAAACAGA
rnacentral:rRNA from 1 species